rnacentral:pre_miRNA from 1 species
UCUUCAUUUACUAUACUCUCGCACCGGUCAGAGAGGCGAGAGAGUGUAGAAAAUGAAGAGA